rnacentral:lncRNA from 1 species
AAAGCUCAUUUGGUUACCUAAAGUUUGAAGUGUUUUUUAGUUUGUUGCAUUAAUCUGGAUUUUUAAAACUUUGAAAAUGCUUGAUAGAAUUUAAAAAGUGUACAAACUGCACCCCCUAUUUUGCAAGCAAAGAUGUUUGUAUCAUGAUCUAGAUUGAUCUUCAAAAUAAGUGAACGAAUCGAAUAUUUUUACUAUUUUCUGCGUCAAAAGAAAUCAAUUAAAAUAAAACUUUGUAAUGAAAAUACUCGAACUCUGUGGACAAUUGACUCAACUCAAUUUUACACCCGAAAACAUG